rnacentral:lncRNA from 1 species
AACUAAAAGUUUACCGUUCUAUUACAGUACACUGAAAUGUAACCUUUAUUUAACUAGGCAAGUCAGUUAAGAACAAAUUCUUAUUUUCAAUGACGGCCUACUAUAGCCAAACCCGGACGACGCUGGACCCAAUCACAGUCAGAUAUGAUACAGCCUGGAUUCAAACCAGUGACAAUGGUGGAAGGAGGUGGGGUUUCGUGACUGCAGAAACAGACAUGAGGGGUGAUGAAUGGAUGAAGACUGGCUGAUACCAGAUUGGAAGAAAAGGAAAAAGGAAGAGGGAGAGAACAGCAGGAACAUGUACUAUACUAUGUAACUUACAUAUACUGUGUAACUUACAUAUACUGUGUAACUUACUAAGACAUUUUUAAACAAAUAGCUGUGAAUGGUUGUUUCUGGUGAAUUUAAGGGAAAAUACAACAACUUUUCUGAAAUGUUGUCAAUUUAGUCAAUCAGAACUCAAAUACCAAUAUUUUUCUGUCUUACUUUAAACUGUUGGUCUAACUAUAACAGUUCAGAAAGUCACCACCAAGGUCAAAACCCAUUAUUCUAUUUUUGUUCCCUUCACCAUGUUUGGGUAGUACAUGGUCUUGAAAUGACUAAUUUAUUUAUACAUAUUCGUAAUUUCUCUUUCUUUAUUGAGAUAUCAAGUUAUGAAUGAGAGGGGGGUGACAGAAAGGUAGAGGAAUACAGAUAUGAAGGAGUAGGCAGGGUUUGAAUCCAUGCCGCAAAGGGCCAUGUGUGGUCCAGAGUCAGCAGCAUUACCACUAGACCAGAUUAUGGCACAAAAUGAACGUCUAAUACUCAAUUAACUUAAAAGGAGUCAAGGGACUCAAUGUCAAGAAACUGCUGACAUGAUUACACAAUUUACUUGCAGUAUCAAUUCAUUAAAAACUAUAAAUACAUACAUACAUACAUGCAUGCAUACAUGCAUACAUACAUACAUACAUACAUGCAUACAUGCAUACAUGCAUACAUGCAUACAUACAUACAUACAUGGUUGUAAAGGAAAUCAUGUCCAGUCCUAAUAAGCUGAAGAUUAUAUCAUGAAUAAAAUUAAACAAGUAUUGUGUUAGUCUACCUGGAAACAGAGAGGCUGAUUACUUUGUUGUAGUGAAAGUGAACUGGGAUAGAAAUACAUUAUCAAUCCGAUUAAAGUGAGUGUCGUGAUGCCAACUUUGGACCAACUACAUUGAGUGUAAAGGCUUGGAUAGGCCUAUGGCUCAGAAUAUGGAAUAGAAUGUGAAUGGUGGGCUACUCUCUCAAGUAUUAAUUCAAAUAUGCAGUAGCCUAUAGGUUGUGGGCAGAAGCCGAAAAACGUGAAGUUGAUCGAUCCCCAUCGAGGGAGGAGCAGAUUUUUAUAUUUGACAGUAAAACAUUCUUAUAAUAACUAUAAAAUGUGUUGGCGCCUUCAAUUCUUGCACAUUGUCUCAUAAAAAUAACAGUUUAACACUGCUUCUAUCUAGGAUGUAAACACAGUCUCAAAUGAGGUCUGAAAACUCAAACUGCUUGCUGUAUGUGUUUGAUGAACUCCCAAAGACUGAAAUAAGAUCAACAUCUGUUUUUGAGUGCACUUGAAAUAUUCAGCAUGCAAUACAAAUUGUCCUAUGAAGAGGUAACUCCGUUCACCAUUUAGCCAUUUUUUUUUAUUUUUUAAAGCUAUCCGAUACUAGUUUGACUAGCCUAGCCUGCUACAGUAAAUGUCAAUUUCCCUGUUCAUGAGGCUUGUGUUUCAUUAGCUAUCUUUCAGUGACACUUUUGUUGUUGUCAUGUUUUGACCUGAUUAUGUCUCUUUUCAAGUAACAAGCUGCAGGCUUGAAGAUGCAUUCAAUCAUAUACUUUACGUAGAAAGCCAAGCAAAAGCGUUUAGAUAUGAAGAUGUGUGUGUCAUGUAUGCUAGAAUGUACGUUUAAAAACGAAGUUGCAUAUGCAAAUUAGCCAACACAGCAUAUCCUACACAUAUAUACUGUAGCAUACCUUGCAAUACAAUGUUCUCUAAAAAACAACUGUGGAAAAUGUAUAAAAUGUGGUUUGCAAUAAGAGAACCAGAGUUUGAUUUCUAAACCAGAUGAGUUCUCAAGUGUCAUAAGCUGCCCAAUACCAUGAUGGGCAGGCAUGCUUAAUGUUGGAGGUGUUGGAGAAUGAUAAUGAAUCUGCAGGAUUACAGAAAAAUCGGUUGAGUUUGAGAUUGAGUUUGAGUAAAACCUGCAAAGAAAAGGCAACAGGCAAAUGCACAAAGACUAG